rnacentral:hammerhead_ribozyme from 1 species
AUCCAGAUGACGAGUCCCGAAUAGGACGAAACGCGCGUCAAACUGUAU